rnacentral:rRNA from 1 species
CAUAGCGACUAUCGUGGCAUAUCAAUAAGCGGAGGAAAAGAAACUAACUAAGGAUUCCCUCAGUAACGGCGAGUGAAGCGGGAAGAGCUCAAAUUUGAAAUCUUCAAGGUUCUACCUUGACGAAUUGUAGUUUAAAGAAGUGUUUUCUGUUGGAGUUUUGGUAAAAGUUCUUUGGAAUAGGACAUCAUAGAGGGUGAGAGUCCCGUAUUUGACCAUUACUUUCCAGCUGUGUGAUACACUUUCAAAGAGUCGGAUUGUUUGGGAAUGCAGUCCAAAAUGGGUGGUAAAUUUCAUCUAAAGCUAAAUAUUGGCUGAGAGACCGAUAGCGAACAAGUACCGUGAGGGAAAGAUGAAAAGAACUUUGAAAAGAGAGUUAAACAGUACGUGAAACUGUCAAAAGGGAAGCGUUUGACACCAGUACUGUUGUUUUUCCGAAAAUCAAUUACGAAUGUUUUGUUUUUGAGGAGUUAUGACUUCAUCGGCUUGCUCCUUUCUUUACGAAACUUUCUUAAUGCACUUUUCGGUUAACAAGUCAACAUCAAUUUCCUUUGUUGUAAAAGGGUAUGAGGAAGGUGGCUUUCUUUUCGGAGAAAGUGUUUAUAGCCUUGUGCCUCUGCAAUCGGAGAGAUUGAGGUCUGCAGCGUAGAUCCUUCGGGGUUAGAUACGUUUGUGCUAAGUUAUAGCUUUUCAUAGACAACUUGUUGACUAUGUUUAGUCUUGUAGCUUACUCGCUGACGCUAUUUUACCUACGCUUAGGAUGUUGACGAGACUGUCGAUCUC